CCAAUAGCGUAUAUUAAAGUUGUUGCAGUUAAAAAGCUCGUAGUUGAAUUUCGGGAUUAGUACGUCGGUCGUGCCUUCGGUACGUACUGGUGUUACUGGUUCCUACCUUCUGACGAACCGUCAUGUCAUUAAUCUGGUGUGGCGGGGAAUCAGGACUGUUACUUUGAAAAAAUUAGAGUGUUUAAAGCAGGCUCGCGCUUGAAUACAUUAGCAUGGAAUAAUGAAAUAGGACGUUGACCCUAUUUUGUUGGUUUCUAGGAUUGACGUAAUGAUUAAUAGGGAUAGUUGGGGGCAUUAGUAUUCAAUUGUCAGAGGUGAAAUUCCUGGAUUUAUUGAAGACUAACUACUGCGAAAGCAUUUGCCAAGGAUGUUUUCAUUAAUCAAGAACGAAAGUUAGGGGAUCGAAGACGAUCAGAUACCGUCGUAGUCUUAACCAUAAACUAUGCCGACUAGGGAUCGGAUGAUGUUAUUUUUAAUGACUCAUUCGGCGCCUUACG
rnacentral:rRNA from 1 species